rnacentral:rRNA from 1 species
AGUCGAGGGGCAGCAUUUUAGUUUGCUUGCAAACUAAAGAUGGCGACCGGCGCACGGGCUGAGCUAACACGCUAUCCAACCUGCCGAUAACUCGGGGAUAGCCUUUCGAAAGAAAGAUUAAUAUCCGAUAGUAUAUUAAAACCGCAUGGUUUUACUAUUAAAGAAUUUCGGUUAUCGAUGGGGAUGCGUUCCAUUAGUUUGUUGGCGGGGUAACGGCCCACCAAGACUACGAUGGAUAGGGGUUCUGAGAGGAAGGUCCCCCACAUUGGAACUGAGACACGGUCCAAACUCAUACGGGAGGCAGCAAUGAGGAAUAUUGGUCAAUGGACGAGAGUCUGAACCAGCCAAGUAGCGUGAAGGAUGACUGCCCUAUGGGUUGUAAACUUCUUUUAUAUGGAAAUAAAGUAUUCCCACGUGUGGGAUUUUGUAUGUACCAUAUGAAUAAGGAUCGGCUAACUCCGUGCCAGCAGCCGCGGUAAUACGGAGGAUCCGAGCGUUAUUCCGGAUUUAUUGGGUUUAAAGGGAGCGUAGGUGGAUUGUUAAGUCAGUUGUGAAAGUUUGCGGCUCAACCGUAAAAUUGCAGUUGAAACUGGCAGUCUUGAGUACAGUAGAGGUGGGCGGAAUUCGUGGUGUAGCGGUGAAAUGCUUAGAUAUCACGAAGAACUCCGAUUGCGAAGGCAGCUCACUAGACUGCAACUGACACUGAUGCUCGAAAGUGUGGGUAUCAAACAGGAUUAGAUACCCUGGUAGUCCACACAGUAAACGAUGAAUACUCGCUGUUUGCGAUAUACAGUAAGCGGCCAAGCGAAAGCAUUAAGUAUUCCACCUGGGGAGUACGCCGGCAACGGUGAAACUCAAAGGAAUUGACGGGGGCCCGCACAAGCGGAGGAACAUGUGGUUUAAUUCGAUGAUACGCGAGGAANCCUUACCCGGGCUUAAAUUGCAUUUGAAUAAUCUGGAAACAGGUUAGCCGCAAGGCAAANUGUGAAGGUGCUGCAUGGUUGUCGUCAGCUCGUGCCGUGAGGUGUCGGCUUAAGUGCCAUAACGAGCGCAACCCUUAUCUUUAGUUACUAACAGGUCAUGCUGAGGACUCUAGAGAGACUGCCGUCGUAAGAUGUGAGGAAGGUGGGGAUGACGUCAAAUCAGCACGGCCCUUACGUCCGGGGCUACACACGUGUUACAAUGGGGGGUACAGAAGGCAGCUACCUGGCGACAGGAUGCUAAUCCCAAAAACCUCUCUCAGUUCGGAUCGAAGUCUGCAACCCGACUUCGUGAAGCUGGAUUCGCUAGUAAUCGCGCAUCAGCCAUGGCGCGGUGAAUACGUUCCCGGGCCUUGUACACACCGCCCGUCAAGCCAUGAAAGCCGGGGGUACCUGAAGUACGAACCGCAAGGAG